UAGUUGAUGUUUCAGAAAAAAGGAAGAUGUUUGAGAACCAACAAAACACAGACCACAGAUGAACAAAGUGAUGUGGCACUAGGAGACUUUAUACCAGAUGCCCUCCCUGUUACUGUGUUUAGAGGAAGAAAAGCAGCACAUGGCAGAGACCAGAGCUUCUUCACUGGAAUAAAUCUUCACACUGUCC